rnacentral:rRNA from 1 species
GACGAACGCUGGCGGCGUGCUUAACACAUGCAAGUCGAACGGAAAGGCCCUGCUUUUGUGGGGUGCUCGAGUGGCGAACGGGUGAGUAACACGUGAGUAACCUGCCCUUUACUUUGGGAUAACUUCAGGAAACUGGGGCUAAUACCGGAUAGGAGCUCUUGCUGCAUGGUGGGGGUUGGAAAGUUUGGGCGGUUGGGGAUGGACUCGCGGCUUAUCAGCUCGUUGGUGGGGUAGUGGCUUACCAAGGCAUUGACGGGUAGCCGGCCUGGGAGGGUGGCCGGCCACAUUGCGACUGCGAUACGGCGCAGACUCCUACGGGAGGCAGCAGUGGGGAAUAUUGCACAAUGGGCGGAAGCCUGAUGCAGCAACGCCGCGUGCGGGAUGACGGCCUUCGGGUUGUAAACCGCUUUCGCCUGUGACGAAGCGUGAGUGACGGUAAUGGGUAAAGAAGCACCGGCUAACUACGUG